CUGUAGCCCACCAUUGUCCUCUGUCCGUGGGAUUUCUUAGGCAAGAAUACUGAAGUGGGUUGCCAUUUCCUUUUCCAGGGGGAUCUUCCCGACCCAGGGAUCAAACCCGUGUCUCCUGACUUGGCAGGCGGAUUCUCUACUACUGAGCCACCAGGGAAGCCCCUGUUUCCAGAAAUUUUUGUCAUCCCCAAAAGACACUCUGUACCCGUGAAACACAAGCUCUCCACCUCCUUCUAACCUCUGGUGGACGGAGUUAACUACAUGAUGACCAGACUGCAGCCAUGACAUAAGCUGUCACAAUUCCGAGAACUGGCCUCAAAGAAAUGGGAACAAACUGACCCUGGAACGGAAGACUAACUGUACUUAAAACAACUAGAUAUGCUGAUCAGCCCUCUACAUAACCAAUCCCCCCUCACAGCCACCCCUGCCACCCCACUGCCGGCAUCCGAAAUAAAGCAAACUUUCCUUUCCACUCACCUUGCCUCUUUAUUGGCUUUUGAGCAGAGCACUUUUGGUUACACUAGGGAUUGGCACCCCACUCCAGAGCUCUUCCCUGGAAAACCCAUGGACGGAGGAGCCUGGUAGGCUGCAGU
ensembl:lncRNA